GACAAGACAAGACAACACAGCACCGCAGUCCAGACAGGAGAGCAGGGAGACGCGCAGCGGUCCGGCGCAGUAACAGAAGCGGGGAUUUAGGAGAGAGAGAUAUUUCUCUCGGUUUUGGGAGUGAGAUAAACAAACAGUGACAUCACAUUUUACUGAAAGGCGAAAGUUGGAAGAUAAAGCAGGCGGUCACCCUCUUUCUGCGUGUGGGACCUGUGCCACCCAGGGGAUACCCAAAUGUGAGCGACGUGCAAGACAACGACUCAGGUGCAGAGAAACCAAACUGGCGGCGCACUUAGGAUGCAGAAGUCACCAGUGGAAGAUGCAAACUUCCUCUCCAAAUUUUUCUUCUGUUGGACGUCAACACUGUUGAGGAAGGGCUUCAGGAAGAAGUUGGAGCUGACGGAUGUGUACAAGGCUCCUUCUUAUGACCUGGCGGACAACCUCUCUGAGCGACUUGAAAGAGAAUGGGACAGAGAGGUGGUGUCGGCCAAGAACAAGCCCAGGCUGAUGCGAGCGCUGUCCCGCUGCUUCCUCGGCCCCUUCUUCUUCUAUGGCGUCCUUCUCUACCUCGGGGAAGCGUCCAAGACAGUGCAGCCUCAACUUCUGGGUCGAAUCAUUGCGUCCUUCGACCCGUUCCAUGCGCCAGAGCGUGCACAGGGAUACUACCUGGCUCUGGGCCUCUGCCUCCUCUUCACUGCCCGCUUCCUCCUGCUGCAGCCUGCCAUCUUUGGUCUGCAUCACUUGGGCAUGCAGAUCCGCAUCGCCCUCUUCAGUCUUAUAUACAAGAAGACCCUGAAGCUGUCCAGCCGAGUCUUGGAUAAAAUCAGCACUGGUCAGCUGGUCAGCCUGAUGUCAGCCCACCUCAACAAGCUAGAUGAGAGUCUGGGUCUGGCCCAUUUCGUAUGGAUCACCCCCCUGCAGUGUAUCCUGUGUGUGGGUCUGAUCUGGGAGCUGAUUGAGGUCAACGGCUUCUGUGCCCUAGCAGCCCUCACCCUGCUGGGCAUCAUCCAGGCCUGGCUGUCUCAGAAGAUGGGACCUCACCGGGUGAAGAGAGCAGGGAUGAUCAGCCGCCGCCUGGCCCUCACCUCAGAGAUCGUGGAGAACAUCCACUCAGUGAAGGCUUAUGGCUGGGAGGAGGUCAUGGAGACCAUCAUCAAGAACAUCAGGCAGGAUGAGAUGACACUGACGAGGAAGAUCGGCUCUCUGCGUUACUUCUACAGUGCCUCCUACUUCUUCUCCGCCAUCUUGGUCAUUGUGUCGGCCAUUGUGCCGCACGCGCUCAGCAAGGGCAUCAUCCUGCGCCGCAUUUUCACCACGGCCUCCUACUGCAUGGUGCUGCGGAUGACGCUGACCCGCCAGCUGCCGGGAUCCAUCCAGAUGUGGUACGACACUCUGGCCCUGAUCAAGAAAAUCGAGGAGUUCCUGAUGAAGGAAGAGUAUAGAGAGCUGGAGUACAAUCUGACCACCACUGAACUGGAGCUGGUCAACGUGACCGCAUCCUGGGAUGAGGGUAUCGGUGAGCUGUUUGAGAAGAUCAAGCAAGAGAAUAAGGCGAACGGUCACCCGAACGGCGAUGCCAGCCUCUUUUUCACCAACCUCUAUGUCACGCCUGUCCUCAAGAACAUCAGCCUGUACCUGGAGAAAGGCAAGAUGUUGGCGGUGGCUGGAUCCACGGGCUCAGGGAAGAGUUCCCUGCUGAUGAUGAUCCUGGGGGAGCUGGUGCCGUCUGAGGGGAAAAUCCGACACAGCGGUCGCAUCUCCUUCUCACCGCAAACUUCCUGGAUCAUGCCCGGGACGAUCCGCGACAACAUCCUGUUUGGCCUGACCUACGACGAGUACCGGUACACCUCUGUCAUCAAGGCCUGCCAGCUGGAGGAGGACUUGGCCCUCCUACCUGAGAAAGACAAGACAGCCGUUGUUGAAGGAGGAGUGACCCUCAGCGGGGGUCAAAGGGCACGCAUUGGCCUGGCCAGGGCUGUGUAUAAAGAUGCAGACCUCUACCUGCUGGAUUCACCUUUCACCCACCUGGACAUCGUGACAGAGAAAGAGAUCUUUGAGAAAUGCUUCUGUAAACUGAUGGCCUCCAAGACACGUGUUGUGGUCACCAGCAAGUUGGAACAUCUCAAACGAGCAGACAAAAUCCUUCUGCUGCACAACGGUGUCUGUUACUUCUAUGGCACCUUCUCAGAGCUGCAGGCCCAGCGGCCCGACUUCAGCUCGCUCCUCCUCGGCCUGGAAGCUUAUGACAACAUUAACGCAGAGCGGCGCAGCUCCAUCCUCACUGAAACUCUCCGCAGGGUCUCCGUUGAUGAAACUGCUGGCUUCAGAGGCCCAGAGCCGAUCCGCCAAUCGUUUCGCCAGCCCCCGCCACCACUAAUUGUCUCUGGACCCCAAGGCCUCCCUGGAGGUGACAGCUACCCGGAAAAACGCAAACAGUCGCUCAUCCUCAACCCUCUGGCAGCUGCGCGCAAGUUCUCUUUCAUUGGGAACUCUCAGCAGACUGCAAAUGCUCCCCAGUCCACAACGAUAGAGGACGGGGUCCAGGAAUUUACCGAAAGGAAAUUCUCGGUAGUUCCUGAGGAUGAUCAAGUGGAAGAGGUGCUUCCCAGGGGGAACCUGUACCACCACGGGCUGCAACACCUCAACGGGCAGCGGCGGCAGUCUGUCCUGGCAUUCAUCACUAAUGCUCAGGGGCAGGGGCGAAGGGAGCAGCUGCAGUCCUCCUUCAGAAAGAAGCUGUCCAUCACGCCGCAGUGUGAACUGGCCUCCGAGCUGGACAUAUACGCCCGUCGCCUGUCCAAGGACAGCGUUUAUGACAUUAGUGAGGAGGUGGAUGAAGAGGACAUGGAGCAAUGCUUUGCAGACGAGCGGGAGAACAUCUUUGAAACUACCUCAUGGAACAGUUACCUUCGCUACGUCACCACCAACAGGAACCUGGUCUAUGUCCUCAUUUUCAUCGUCUUUGUCUUUGCUAUUGAGGUCGCUGGUUCAGUCCUCGGUAUUUUCCUCAUCACCGAUAAGAUCUGGAGGGAAGGGGCCAACCCUUCAGCACCCAACUAUAUUGACGAGCAGCACCCCAAUGCCUCGUCAACGCCCGUUCACCUGGCUGUCAUCGUCACCCCGACCAGUGCCUACUACAUCAUAUACAUCUACGUGGCCACGUCAGAGAGCGUCCUGGCCUUGGGUUUCUUCCGGGGCCUCCCGCUGGUGCACACAUUAUUGACUGUUUCCAAAAGACUGCAUGAACAGAUGCUCAGUGCCGUGCUCCGAGCUCCCAUGGCUGUGCUCAACACCAUGAAGACCGGCCGCAUCAUGAACAGGUUCACCAAGGACAUGGCCACUAUAGAUGACAUGCUGCCUCUGGUGCUGUUUGACCUCAUCCAGCUGACACUGAUAGUCUUGGGUGCCAUCUUCACAGUAUCCAUCAUGCGGCCAUACAUCUUCAUUGCUGCCAUCCCAUUGGCUGUCAUCUUUGUUGUACUCAGGAAAUACUUCCUGCGAACUGGUCAACAACUCAAACAACUGGAGGCUGAAGCGCGGAGCCCCAUCUUCUCCCACCUCAUAAUCUCGCUGAAGGGCUUGUGGACGAUACGAGCCUUCGGGCGCCAGACCUACUUUGAGACGCUCUUCCACAAGGCUCUGAACACUCACACGGCCACCUGGUUCCACUACCUGGCAACGCUGCGCUGGUUCCUCUUCCGCUGUGACAUCAUCUUCGUCUUCUUCUUCACCGCCGCCGCCUUCAUCGCUGUGGGAACCAACCAGGACAAACCAGGGGAGAUUGGCAUCAUUGUGGCUCUGGCCAUGCUCAUUCUGGGGACUUUCCAAUGGGCUGUCAUCACCAGCAUCACUGUGGAUGGAUUGAUGCGCUCGGUGGACCGGGUGUUUAAGUUCAUCGACCUGCCGUCCGAGGAGCCGCAGCCGGGCCGAGGAGGGAGGGGCGGAGGUAAAGGGGGCCAGGACCUGAUCAUUGGAAACCCCCACGCCCACGAGAGCUGGCCCAACCGCGGCCAGAUGGACGUCCACGGCCUCACCGUCAAAUACACGGAGGCCGGACGCGCUGUCCUCUCCGACAUCUCCUUCACGGUGGAGGGGGGGCACAGUGUGGGUCUGCUAGGGCGGACAGGUUCAGGGAAGAGCACGUUGCUGUCCGCCCUGCUGCGCCUGGCCUCCACUGAUGGAGAAAUCUCCAUCGAUGGCGUCUCCUGGAACUCUGUGUCCCUGCACACCUGGAGGAAGGCCUUUGGAGUCGUGCCACAGAAAGUCUUCAUUCUGACCGGCACUUUCCGAAUGAACCUGGACCCGCACGGACGGUACAGCGACGAGGACCUAUGGAGGGUAGCCGAGGAGGUGGGCCUGAAGUCCGUGAUCGAGCAGUUUCCGGACAAGCUGGACUUCCAGCUGGAGGACGGCGGCUACGUGCUGAGCAACGGCCACAAGCAGCUGCUCUGCCUGGCCCGCUCCAUCCUCAGCAAGGCCCGCAUCCUGCUGCUGGACGAGCCCUCCUCCUACCUCGACCCCAUAACGCUGCAGGUCCUGAGGAAGACACUGAAGCAGUCAUUCUCCAGCUGCACUGUCAUCCUGUCAGAACACAGAGUGGAGCCGCUGCUGGAGUGUCAGUCAUUCCUGAUGAUCGAGGGCAGCUCCAUGAAGUGCUACGACUCCAUCCAGCGGCUGCUGAACGAGACCAGCCACCUGAAGCAGGCCAUGAGCCCAGCCGAGCGCCUGCGCCUCUUCCCCCCGCUGCACCGCCUCAACUCCAGCAAGAGGUCGACGCCGCAGGCCGCCAAGAUCACCGCCCUGCCCGAGGAGGCCGAGGACGACGUGCACGACACUCGCCUCUAACUGGCCACGCCCACACGAGCACAUACGCGCACCCCGCCCCCGUAAACAAGCCAAGCACGCACGCUAGGGUUUUGUGCAGGGCGAUGCAGAUCUUUCAGUUUGAAGUGCCUCACACUGACCUUUGUAUCUUUAAAUUGGACAAAAAAGAACCAGACGUCUUUAAUAACUUCAGACAAUUGAAUUCAAAGGGCUUGCAAAGUGCCAGCAGAAUGUAAGGAGCUGAUUUAAUGACAGGAGAUUUAUACCAGAAAAGGUCACAUACGGUUGAGCAUGACUUUCACCCACUUUGUAAUAUUUUGCAUGCCUGUUAACUUCACAGCCCUCCGUGAGAUUUAAUCACACAUGAACAUGAGCUGACCUUGGACAGAUGCUAAGCUACAAACUGCAAAGUGCAAAAUUACGCUUACAGAAUUAUGAAGUGCAAGUGUGUGCACGAAAACAGUUGCUGGAAAAGUCCCAAUUUGAGCAGCCUUUGUUUGUUGGCCAGCUGAAAUUACAGCGGUCCGUCUUUUUGUUGCAAAAAUCGCACACGACUAUAGAACCUGAAAUUUGAGCGCAAAGUUACACCUUCACACAACGAAGCUUUUGCAGAUCUGUCAUUAAAUAUAACGCUCUGCUGGUGGCCGUGCAACACCCAGCUGAUAAACUGCCUCAUGCCACAAGUGAUCAGUCCAGUGUGUUGACAUGUUGAACUGCAGCAGGUUAAACACACGUGGCAGCCUUCAGAUCCUUCACAGUAAUUCUCAGCACAAAUUGUGGCCUUGAACACAACAGACACACAGAGCUUCAGCCAGUACAGACUAUGGAUUAAUGGAUUUAAUCUAUACAGCCUUUAAUGGGUGGUAAUCAUAUUUGAUGUAUUAUCUGUUUCAAUAGAUAGAAUUUACAUCAUGUAUGUGGAAAAAGGCACAAAUCAUGUUUGAGGAUCUUGAGGAAGAUCUUGCUACAGCGGGUGUUUGAUAUCAGGUUGUCAGAUCUUUAAAUUCUGCCAAUAUUCUGUGCCCUAUGCCAGUGUCCCAAACCAGCAGCAGUGUGUCCCGGGCAGUGUCUCUGUGCUUGUCUGGUGGCUUCGCUAACUGGAUGCCAGGCUGACAAAAAAACAAAACAAAAAAAAACCCCAUUUUAAAUACCUUUGUAGGAGGGGAGGGAAAUGAAAGCGUGGUUUCAGUCCCCUACAGGUGCCUUCUCUGUCUUCAGUCCAAAAGCAUCAGAAAGGGUUUCUGCUCUGAGGCCAGACUUUACCUACUUGCUUUGAAAAAGCUUGAACUUAAAAUGCAUCUUUUCUUAUUUAUAGUUUGGUGUAUACAAAAAAAUAAUUUGCAUUUCAUUUAAAGCAUUAUUUACGGAGAAAUCUUCAGUUCCAAGCAGCGCACAGCCGGCUGCUUGUUCUCAUCCCAGCCUUCAGUCUUCAGUCCCUGUUGAGCCUGCAGCUGCCUGCCUGCCUGCCUGCCUGCCUGCCUGACGCCCUGCCUUCCUG